UCCCCUCUGUGCACUUGCAACCAUGUGUUUAUUUUUGCAUUUAUGUUUAUUUUUCAGCAUUUUUUUUAACAGAGGUUUCUUUCUGCUCAUUAUUCUGUGAGUGGGAAAUACUGUGAAAUCAAUUAUGAAGGCUGGAAAAACUUCUUAGUUUGAUGGCAGUCGAGCUGAAGCCAGACAGGAGCAUGAACACAGCACAGGGAUUCUUCAGGAUAAGGAGCUUUUCUACAGGAAGUAGGUGUUUCUACUCCAAAUACAAUAUUAAUGGUGUGGAGCGACAAGCAAAAACAUCUGAGAGACUAAAGAAAAUCUUUAUUACAGCUGUACCAAAGACCAUUUUCAAUGCACGGACAUAAGGGUGAAUGCAUUUUCUGUAAAAGAGGAAAGAGACAGCAGCAACAAAAAGAGAACUUUGAUUUUUUAGGGAACAAAUUGGCAACAAAAUAGAAAUGUGUGCCAGGCAAAUAAAGUGAGUGCAGGCUGGUGUAGCUGUAGAAGAAUAAUAUGGAUAUGUGGUAAUGAUGAAUAUGAGAAAGCAUCUUACUGCACGAGAUUUUUAAAAAAGAAGACAAAGUAGGAAAUGAAGUUUUAACCACGUCUCACUCUGUGCAAAAACUGUUUUAUAGUUUGAGAACACAAGACCAGCACUGCAGUCUGCUAACAAAGAGCUAACUGGUUCAGGUAACUCUUCACGGUGAGUUUAGAGGUUGAAAGAAAACAUGGCUGAACACAUAAAAUACCAUCUAAACCUGCUGGAAAGGAACAAGAAACAGGGCUGUCCUGUUUUAAGAGCACUUAAAAUCAGAUUUUUCGAAAGCAUUAAUUACCAACUUAGUUCUGUCCAUUAUAUUUACCCCGUGUACUGUACAGUAUCCAAAUUAUAAUUUGGAUUUCUUCCUUUUUGUGAUAGAUUUUCUAUACAGACAUAAUUUUCCACAGUGGCUCUAAUCACACAGACUAAUUCCAGAUGUUUUUGGAUGUGAAGCAUUAGGAGAGCUAAGGGAAGGAGGGGAGCUGAAAACUGGACUGAUGAACCCCCAACAGAUUUUUUAAAAAGACUGAAACUACUUUUUUCCCCCCCCUCAUUAUCAAAAAAAAUUGGGUUAAUGAGUCUGUUUUUCUGGGGCAGGGAGGAGGGACAGAGCACAUCCAACUGGGUGAACUAUCGAGCCAUCACAGGUUUAAGCAGCCACCUCUGCAGCAGGGGCCACCUCGGCUUCAGCAGGUGGAGUGAGAUCUACUGCUGCCGUACCAGCGUUUUCUGCCACAGGUUCCUCUGCUGGGGCCUCCACAGCCACUUCAGCAACCACCUCUGCCUCCACAGGUGGAGCGGCGUCCUCCGUCUCUGCUGACUCAGCUGCCGUCUCAGCUGCUGCCUCUGGAACGACCGCCUCAGAGACGGCGGCGGCGGCUUCUGCUUCUUCAGACGCAGCUUCCACAACAGGUUCAGCAGCUGUCUCUCCUACAGGUUCUGCAGCAGCAGUAGCCGGGGCCGACUCAGCGAUGACCUCAGCAGCAGGGGCUUCCUCCUCCACCGGUGCAGGCUCAACUGCAGGUGGAGCUGCCUCUGGUGCUGCCUUUGCUGAAGAAGCUGCAGCGUAAGAGGCCAGAAAGAGAAACACGUGAAAGAUUUCACUCUAGUACAUGUUAGCUGUAUGAUGCUUGUUUUAUCUGUGCCUGAAUAAAGUGUUAACCUCUGGAGAUUAAAGAUGAAAGCAACUGUGCACUUUUAUUAAUGCAGGUUUCAGUAGCAGAGAAAGGAGGCUUAAAGGUCAAGACUUUAGGUCUUUGAGGACUAAAAGGUGACAUAGCUGCUGUUAAAACUGUAAACAUGAGCAAAGUGAAGGAUAAUCCUUAUCCUAACAUGUCAGUGAAAGACAGAAAUAUAUUAUUACCACUCCUAUAACUGCUUAUUGAAGAUUGUGGAGUGAAAAGGUCAGAAUCAAAGCUCAGCACGACUUCAGUCAGCACUUUAGAGAUAAAGUUUAACGUCUCAGUCUCCAAAUCUGAGCUAAUAUUAUAGACAUUUUUGGCUGUUGCCAUAUUAGAUUUCUGAAACCAGUAUCAUUAACUGGGAAACAGAGCACAUGCGUAGAGUACUGAGUUGUCACUCAUAAGUUAGACUGGCCUUACAUCAUACACUUAUUUAUUUUUUUUAUUUUCCUCUAACAGACCAAUCGUACUAUAAUGACAUAAACCCAGCUGGAAAGCUUUUUCUGAGGUUUUACAUCACGUGAGCGGUAGCUUUGUUUUUCUCACAUUUUUGUUUACUGUACUGGUUUUUACAGCGACACAAUUCACCCCCUACUGGCCAUUAGAAAGAAUGCAGGUUUAACUCCCACCUUUCAAACCUGUAAACUACGUCAAUCUUUCAGUCUAUACUGUUCCUUUCAAGGAACUUGGACUAUUUCGCCAAACGUAUUUACUCACGGAGCUCAGGUGUUCCACUCACUUCCAUGGCCACAGGUGUAUAAAAUCAAGCACUAUAUACUAUGGGGGCAUUAUAACAAAGUGGAAGUGAUUGGGAAUGACAAACUCAGCAUUGAAGUGGUAGGCCAAGAAAAAUCACAGAGCGAGUUGCCAACUGUCUGACUUGUCUGACUGCAUUGUGCCAAGUGUAAGGUUUGGUGUAGGGGGGUUUAUGGUGCACGGCUUGUUUUCAGGAACUGGGCUCGGCCCCUUAGCUCCAGUGAAAAGAACUUAAUGCUUCAGCACAGUAAGACGUUUAACUGUGUGGCAACAGUCUGGGGAUGGCUCCUUCCUGUUCCAACAUGACUGCACUGCAGUGCACGAGGCAAGGUCCAUAAAGACAUGGAUGAGUUUGGCGUGGAAGAACUUGACUGGCCUGCACAGAGUCCUGACCUCAACCUGAUAGAACACCUUUGGGAUGAACACAGCGAUGUCGGCCUUCUCGUCCAUCAUUGGUGUCUGACCUCAGAAAUGCACUUCUGGAAGAAUGGUCAAAACUCCCCUAAACACACUAAAUGUUAUGGAAAGCUUUCCCAUCUUUGUUAUAGAUGCAAAGCACGUCAGGUUAAUGUGUGCAUUCAGCUCCUUAAAGACCAGCGGUGGUUUCCUCUCCAUCGCUGUAAGCAGCAGCACUUUGACUUCUUACUCCGGAGUGAAAACAACACUUCAAUGCUGCAUGAUCACAACUAACCCACUGACAGCUGCUGCUUAGCACCAUUACAGCACAGUUAACGGCUCUGGGCACAGCGCCAUGGCCUCUCCGGGCUGAGUAGACAAAAAUUGCGCAGACAGAAAUCAAAACAGACAGGCACGAUGAAGACAUUCAGAGUGAUCAGUCUACCGUGCAGCUGGUGAAGCUGGAAUCAGCCCUGAAAUACAUUCGCUUCUUCCUUUCUGCUUUCUCUGUCUUCGAUUAAACAGUUACAGACUCCGACAGGCUGUCACACCUUGGGGAAUUUUAAUCUUAAUAGCACAAGCUGAAGUAGCACCAUUUUAACCUGUUUUAGAGAGGAGGCUCACAGUGAGGGAUUUCUUUGAUAAAACCGGUCCUUUUACAGUCAUGGAUGGUGUUUCGGGGCUCUUCAUUCAUCGCUGUGUUUGAACCCACACACGGGAGCUCUGUGGGGAGUUUGCACUCUCUCACUGUGGCUGUGUGAGUUUCCUGUAGGAUCUCCAGCUUUUCUACUAUCAAAAACAAGCUAGGCUGGUGCUGCCUAUCCUUGAGUUUCACAUACUGGUUAAAUAGAAGGUUUGAAAAUCAUUUAAUUUACAAGAAAUUAGUGUUUUAAGUUGCAUAUCAGACUAUCUCUUGCUUUAGCUGCGAUCACAUAAGUUGAAAUCGGUGUGUCUUGUCUGUGCAGCGUGUACGGCUUGCACAAUGUCAUGUUCACAAAGCUGAGUUGUGGGUAACAGUGUUUGUUUUUGAGUGUGUGUGUGUGUGUGUGUGUGUUUGUGUGUGAGAAAGUAGCUAACCCUUCGCCGUGGAGCCCAUGUUGGCGAGUCUUUCCUCGUAACGCUCGGUAUCAUCGUUGACCGUCUUGUAUGCCUGAGAGAAACACAGCAGACAUGUACUCAUUACAUUCCAGCACACAGCUAAUGAUAACGGCACGAAACAAAAUCCAACCUCAAGCUGACAUUUUG
ensembl:lncRNA